rnacentral:rRNA from 1 species
AGGGAAUUUUCCGCAAUGGGCGAAAGCCUGAUGCAGCAACGCCGCGUGAGUGAAGAAGGUUUCCGGAUUGUAAAGCUCUGUCAUCUGGGACGAUAAUGACGGUACCAGAUGAGGAAGCCACGGCUAACUACGUGCCAGCAGCCGCGGUAAUACGUAGGUGGCAAGCGUUGUCCGGAAUUACUGGGCGUAGAGGGUGCGCAGGCGGACAUUUAAGUGAGAUGUGAAAGACCCGGGCUUAACUUGGGCAGUGCAUUUCAAACUGGAUGUCUGGAGUGCAGGAGAGGAGAACGGAAUUCCUAGUGUAGCGGUGAAAUGCGUAGAGAUUAGGAAGAACACCAGUGGCGAAGGCGGUUCUCUGGACUGUAACUGACGCUGAGGCACGAAAGCGUGGGUAGCAAAC